ensembl:lncRNA
CAGCAGUGGAGGUGAGGGUGUCUUGCUGGUGUUUCUUAUAUCCUUGAGGCCCUCUGAAGAGGUGGCUGCAUUUGAACAGCAGCACAGCUGGAACAUUAACUAACUAAAAGUGAAGUUAAUAACUGCAGACUUCCACACCAAGGUACAAUAUACAUCCUCAAGCCAGGGAAGCCCUACCGCAUCUGAGAAAGGCUGCCUUGCAGAAAUUCAGCUGCAACAACACAGACACAGGAAACAUCCUCAGCAAUUUCAGCUGAACAUACAAUGCCAAACGACCACCCACCGAAGAGGGCAUUUGCCUCCCCUUUCUCACCCCUCAAGAUUACCGAGGGAAUGGCAUCAGCCAGGGAAGAAGCCCCCAGCACAGAAAAAGCAGGUGCCUCCUCUUUUAGUGUGGCCGCCCAUCUACCAGUUCAAUCCAGCACAGGUCAUGAGCCCAGGACCAGGAACACCACCACUAAGCAGCCAUCACCACACAGGAGCCACUAGAGCACCUCGGGAAGAGACAUCUUUGUCAGGAGGGGAGCUCCCCCUCCCCACCCCACAGAGGGAGUCCCCCAGCCAAGAGGGGAACUCCUCCCUCACACCCCAUGCAGGGGGGCCCUCCACCCAGGAGGGAGCUCCCUAAGUGGGGGGAGAGAAGAGGGAGAGCCCCUCCCCCCCACUCAGGAGGGGAGCUUACCCUCCCCACCCAGGGGGGGCUCCCCAGAGGG